rnacentral:lncRNA from 1 species
CUUUAAAGGAAUUUGCCCGGGGGAAGAAGACAGCUGCUGCCCUGAUGAGGGAUUUUUCUGAGCAGGCCUCCCGAGCCAGACAUGUCAGUGUGAGAUGCUGCCCACGUUUUUCAUCGUGACCAACAGGUUGUUAAACUACAAUCAAAAGCACUUAGCACGAAUGGAACUGUCCCUGUCUUGAGAUUUGAACUGCUGACAUCUUUAUCCGCUGAAACUUGAGUGCCCAGGACCCACCAGAGAGGGGAUUUUGGGAGCAUUUCACAAGGCCUGCGGCUGUGAGCUGGUUCCAGCAUGAGGAAAAGCCCUCCUUCACCCCAAUGCACAGGAAAGAGAAGACAGAUGACAGUAGCUAUCCUCCUUCCAUUCUGAGGAAAAGGCCACCUGUGGACCAAGCUGUGGGGGAAAAGCGGAGAGCAGAGAGAAGGGUUCGAUUUCGUGAGCCAGAAGAAGUCAUUGAACAUGUCAUUUCCUGCUGUGACUACGUUGUGGGUAAGUUGAAUUUUUCACAUUAUAACUGUGAGCCAUCCAUAGCAUUAACCUGAGUUUGAUUUUCAGCUGGUGGGGUGCACUGUGCAAAUAUACCCUCCAUUUACACAGCAUUUUGUGUUGUCAGUGGUUGUUGCUUUUUCUUCUCAGAGUAAGCAGCACAAUGAUGUGCUCUGGUGCAAUUUUAAACAAGACAUCUAGUAAGACAGAUAGUGGAAACAAAAAUUAAAUCCCUGAAGCUAUUUUUAAUUUAAAUAUAAUUAAUAUAUUUUUAUGGCAUUAGAAUAGGUACAGGUUUCUCACUAAGAUAUGCAAGGAAAGCACCCCAAGCUAAACAAUAGUUCUCCCCGCCGAGUUCCACAUGAGGGAAAGAGACAAUUCAUUUAUAUGCUGACAGCAGGGUAGAAAUAAUAAAAAUAAUUGUUUUUUUCUCUUUUCUGUUUGA